AUUGAACGCUGGCGGCAGGCCUAACACAUGCAAGUCGAGCGGAGCGGCGGACGGGUGAGUAAUGCCUAGGAAUCUGCCUGGCAGUGGGGGAUAACGUCCGGCAACGGGCGGUAAUACCUCAUCCUAUCAGAUGAGCCUAGGUCGGAUUAGCUAGUUGGUGGGGUAAAGGCUCACCAAGGCGACGAUCCGUAGCUGGUCUGAGAGGAUGAUCAGUCACACUGGAACUGAGACACGGUCCAGACUCCUACGGGAGGCAGCAGUGGGGAAUAUUGGACAAUGGGCGAAAGCCUGAUCCAGCCAUGCCGCGUGUGUGAAGAAGGCCUUCGGAUUGUAAAGCACUUUAAGUUGGGAGGCGUUACCAACAGAAUAAGCACCGGCUAACUCCGUGCCAGCAGCCGCGGUAAUUC
rnacentral:rRNA from 1 species